rnacentral:lncRNA from 1 species
GAGGGCUGAGGUGUUCACACCUGCCCACGGCAGCCUGCCUCGCCCUCAAGCGCCUCAAAGCUUCCUAAGCGCUUACAUUGGUCUUGGGACAGCCGACUUUGGCUUCUUUGUUUGUUUGAGGGACCGCGGAAGUGGCGGGGAAUGUGCCCCCGCUUGAGACCGCUUAUUGUGAGCCCUCAACGGAAAUCCUGCACGGAAGGCAACCGCCUCCCCGCUCGCGUUAGAAGGCUUCAUUUGCUCUGAGUUAUCAUUGAGAACUAAAUGGAGAAGAAAAGAACUGAAGGCCUGAAGAUAUGUCAUCUGUAGAAAAGGUGGCCUCUUCUCAAGCUUUCUUGGCAAAUCAAGAGCUUCUGCCUUUUGGAGGACAUCCUCUUGACCUCCCACCCAUAUCAGCUCUUAGAGGACAUUCCACAGGAACAUUGCCUUCUUGUCCUCCAGUAUUUUUUAUGGAAACAGAAAUUAGGUUAUCUUCCUUAUGCUCUAGAUGGACAUCUGAAAUCAUCAAACCCUUGAGAGAAACAGCCCUCAUUCUUUUAUGAGACAACCUGGAAGAAAACAGGACUCUGAAGAUUUGUCUCCAUAUUCUCUGGAAAGAUGUACUCUGUUUGCAAUAAGAGGGAGCCACAUGGUUUAUUAGAUGGUUAUUAAUUGAGCAUUCUGUGCAAAGAAGUUUGUGCCUUAGUUAUAUUGAAAAGAAGAAAAUCUCUCCAGUUUCAGAAACACUGGCCUUUUGGAUACUGAGGAGUUGGAAAUGGAAAGGGGAUUUUAAUGAGUUUCUCGGCAAUGAGGCUAGAGAAAAUAUUAUCCAUCUCCCCCUGUUCUCCAAUUCAGCAGCUCGGACUCCUGUUUUCAUCACAGUCCUGUUAGAUAAUUACAGCCCCAAAGGCCUCCUGUUCCUUCUUUCUGUGUUCCCUGAAUCUUCUUUCCCAGAGCCAGGACCUCUUGGAAAUUCUCAGCCUCUGUUAGUUGCCCGCUCUGGGAGCCCGACUCCUCACAUCCGUCAUCUCUUUCUUCUCCCCCUUCACCUGCUGUAGUGUCCCCACUGUCUCUCUUUACCUCAGCUCCUUACCAUUCCUUUCCCUCUACACCCUUUUCCUUUGGUUCAUAGUCAGGAUGUGCUAGUUGCAUUCAAGCCCUUUUUGAUACUAAGAAUUCAGGGGGACAAAUCCAAACCCUGGAGACUACUGUCUUCCCCUUAGUGAUGCUAAUGAAUAUAAUUCCUGAUCUGAAAUUACCUGCACUUUAUUUGGCUCCAUCUACUUUUCUGCCACUUACUCCCUGUAUAACCAUAGGCUACGUACCCUACCUCUCUCUGGGUUUGUUUACUCCUCAGUUAAAAGGAGGAUUAAAAUGGCAAUCACAACACCUUGCUACAGAUAUGUUAGGAAGAUUAAAUGGGAUAACAUGCAGGGUGCCUAGCCUUCCUGGCAUAUAGUAAAUGCCUAUAAAAUAUAACAAGUGUCAUGUAUUAUUAUUAAAUUGUAUCUACCUGGUAGAAA